rnacentral:rRNA from 1 species
CUGCCGGUGACAAACCGGAGGAAGGUGGGGAUGACGUCAAGUCCUCAUGGCCCUUAUGGGUAGGGCUAAAACCACAUGUGAUGACUGAUGACUGCAGGCAUUAGUAUUCCGCCUGGGGAGUACGCUCGCAAGAGUGAAACUCAAAGGAACAAAGACCGGGGCUUAACCCGGAAAGGCAGUGGAAACUGACAAGCUAGAGGGCUCUAGGGGUAGAGGGAAUUCCCGGUGUAGCGGUGAAAUGAACACUACGAUCGAUCGACUACUGAUGAGUAAACCAGCAUACUGACUGCAGACGACGGACGACGUACCGUACUGACUGAUGACAACACUGCAUGCAUGGACUGACUGCAGUGACUGGUCGAGCACUGAUGCGUAGAACCGAUACCAUGGCAGUCAUGCAAGAUCGGGAACACACUCUCAUGAGCUUGACUGACUGACUGAGUAGACGCAAACCGACAUGCUGAGCUACGUGCACAUGGGACGAAAGCUAGGGGAGCGAAUGGGAUUAGAUACCCCAGUAGUAACCAUCUCAUGCGGCAGUCAGUCAUGACGUACUGACUGCAGUCACUGGGACUUGUUCAGCGCAGCAUACGGGGCCCGCACAAGCGGUGGAGUAUGUGGUUUAAUUCGAUGCAACGCGCAAAACUCGA